CGAUUCGCGCUUUUUUUCAAAAUUCGUUCGCAUACGGUCCGAGCGAUGAAACUAGCAGAGGAAAAGACAAAUGCGUCCUGUGUUCGUAUAGCUUUAGAAUAACGAAACAUGUGACUAGUCAAAGGAAGGCGCCGUCGUACUAUGCAAAUAUUGAAAGGCAAAAACUGGGCAUCAUUCGUAGUUUCCCGUACAUGCCCUAUAUGGCUUGUUGGUGUUCUUGCCGUGAUAUCUUCUUAUACUCGCAAGCCAUUCGUUGCGUAGAUGGCUCUACCAGUUUCGAGCGAUGGUAAUGUUGAGAGGUGCUUCCAAGAAAUGAAGUUAUCUGUCUUCGCUACAAGUAGCGUGGCCCAACGGGGUGGUUUCGGUGAACAUUGCACGGACGCAAAUAUCGGUGCGGGACGAACAAGCAAUAAUAAAAUGUUUAUUACGGUUGGGCAAAUGCGGAAGCAAUGUUCGGUGUUUUCUUCGCCUUUGCUAAAAGCGUUCGCGUUCCACUUCAUCCUUCUAUCGACAAUCGCAGUACUCUGUCAGGCGACAAGCACUGAAAGGGAAUUUGAUCCGGUCCUCAUCAUGACCAAACGUACCACAUCUGGGACAAUGUUGACCAAACCUCCCCGGGCGUGGGAAGGAACCAAGCAACCUAAGAAUCUCAAUAGUCUAUCCAGUAUGCUGUUAAAGAUGUCGAGUGUUUUCCCGUUUAAAACGUACAAUGAUAGUUUGCGUUUUGCGGUGGCAGUAACGGCAGGACUCUUCGCAUUGAUCGCAUUGUGUGCCCUGGCACCCACCAUGUGGAUGGGGCUCAGGUACGUUUUGCGGGCACAGUUCAAGGAAUUCCUGCUUUAACGGCGCCAAAUAGCUUUACGUGCUGCGUACGCACAUAUCUUCUGACCUAAUCUUUUUAUCUCUACGAGGCCAGUGCUGUAUUCGGACAGCAAAAGUGAUAUCUGAGGUACGAGCCUUCAAGUGGAUCUACUGGUUUUCGAAAUCGACAACAUCGAAUAUUUCGAAGUCUUGAAGACUAAAAACUAUGAUUUGCUGUGGCGAACCUCGUUUAGAGUAAGUUCUUGAUUGGUUGAAAGAUCAUCUCAUCAAAGAGAUUGGUAAAAGAUAAGAAAAUUAGUAUCUGCAUGUUUAUUAAUUGAGACCUUUGGUAAAGCGAAGUUUCUUCGACUGUGCAUAGAUAAUCAGAUAAUUUUUCAGCUUUUUCUGUGACUCUUGACACGGUUAGACGUUAAAAAGGACCUUUCUGCAGACUAACGCUUUGAAGUUUUCUGCACUGAAAUAAAGGGGAAAAAAAGGGGCUA